UCCCUGGUGGUCCAGUGGUUAAGACUCCGUGAUCCCAAUUCAGGGGGCCCGGGUUCGAUCCCUGGUCAGGGAA